UACGUAGGGGCCGAGCGUUGUCCGGAGUUACUGGGCGUAAAGCGCGCGCAGGCGGUCGUCUAAGCCCACCGUGAAAGCCCCCGGCUCAACCGGGGAGGGUCGGGUGAAACGGCGGAGCUGGAGGCAGCGAGAGGCUGGUGGAAUUCCCGGAGUAGUGGUGAAAUGCGUAGAGAUUGGGUGGAACACCAGUGGCGAAGGCGCCUGUCUGGCUGACAACUGACGCUGAGACUCGAAAGCAUGGGGAGCAAACAGG
rnacentral:rRNA from 1 species